AUUGAACGCUGGCGGCAGGCUUAACACAUGCAAGUCGAGCGAGCGGCGGACGGGUGAGUAAUGUCUGGGAAACGGCCUGAUGGAGGGGGAUAACUACUGGAAACGGUAGCUAAUACCGCAUACCAUCAGAUGUGCCCAGAUUGGAUUAGCUAGUAGGUUGGGUAAUGGCUCACCUAGGCGACGCUCCCUAGCUGGUCUGAGAGGAUGACCACCCACACUUGAACUGAGACACGGUCCAUACUCCUACGGUAGGCAGCAGUGUGGAAUAUUGCACAAUGGGCGCAAGCCUGAUGCAGCCAUGCCGCGUGUGUGAAGAAGUCCUUCGGGUUGUAAAGCACUUUCAGCGAGGAGUCGUUACUCGCAGAAGAAGCACCGGCUAACUCCGUGCCAGCAGCCGCGGUAAUUC
rnacentral:rRNA from 1 species